GAUGACGCUGGCGGCGUGCCUAAUACAUGCAAGUCGAGCGAGCGGCGGACGGGUGCGUAAUGUCUGGGAAACUGCCCGAUGGAGGGGGAUAACUACUGGAAACGGUAGCUAAUACCGCAUACCAUCGGAUGUGCCCAGAUGGGCUUAGCUAGUAGGUGGGGGAACGGCUAACCUAGGAGACGCUCCCGAGCUGGUCUGCGAGGAUGACCAGCCACACUGGAACUGAUACACGGUCCAGACUCCUACGGGAGGCAGCAGUGGGGAAUAGUGCACAAGGGGCGCAAGCCUGAUGCCGCCAUGCCGCGUGUAUGAAGAAGGCCUUCGGGUUGUAAAGUACUUGCAGCGAGGAGGCGUUACUCGAAGAAGAAGCACCGGCUAACUCCGUGCCAGCAGCCGCGGUAAUAC
rnacentral:rRNA from 1 species